AACGAACGCUGGCGGCAGGCUUAACACAUGCAAGUCGAACGCCCGUAGCAAUACGGGAGUGGCGGACGGGUGAGUAACGCGUGGGAACGUGCCCUGAGGUACGGAAUAACUGCGGGAAACUGCAGCUAAUACCGUAUGAGCCCCGCAAGGGGGAAAGAUUUAUCGCCUUAGGAGCGGCCCGCGUCGGAUUAGCUAGUUGGUGGGGUAACGGCUUACCAAGGCUUCGAUCCGUAGCUGGUCUGAGAGGACGAUCAGCCACACUGGGACUGAGACACGGCCCAGACUCCUACGGGAGGCAGCAGUGGGGAAUCUUGCGCAAUGGGGGCAACCCUGACGCAGCCAUGCCGCGUGAAUGAUGAAGGCCUUAGGGUUGUAAAGUUCUUUUGCCCGUGACGAUGAUGACGGUAACGGGAGAAUAAGCUCCGGCUAACUUCGUGCCAGCCGCCGCGGUAAAAC
rnacentral:rRNA from 1 species